UGGGGAAUAUUGCACAAUGGGCGCAAGUCUGAUGCAGCCAUGCCGCGUGUAUGAAGAAGGCCUUCGGGUUGUAAAGUACUUUCAGCGGGGAGGAAGGCGAUAAGGUUAAUAACCUUGUCGAUUGACGUUACCCGCAGAAGAAGCACCGGCUAACUCCGUGCCAGCAGCCGCGGUAAUACGGAGGGUGCAAGCGUUAAUCGGAAUUACUGGGCGUAAAGCGCACGCAGGCGGUCUGUCAAGUCGGAUGUGAAAUCCCCGGGCUCAACCUGGGAACUGCAUUCGAAACUGGCAGGCUAGAGUCUUGUAGAGGGGGGUAGAAUUCCAGGUGUAGCGGUGAAAUGCGUAGAGAUCUGGAGGAAUACCGGUGGCGAAGGCGGCCCCCUGGACAAAGACUGACGCUCAGGUGCGAAAGCGUGGGGAGCAAACA
rnacentral:rRNA from 1 species